rnacentral:rRNA from 1 species
GAAUUCUGGACAAUGGGGGCAACCCUGAUCCAGCCAUCCCGCGUGUGCGAUGAAGGCCUUCGGGUUGUAAAGCACUUUUGGCAGGGAAGAAAAGGCUCUGGCUAAUAGCCGGAGCUGCUGACGGUACCUCCAGAAUAAGCACCGGCUAACUACGUGCCAGCAGCCGCGGUAGUCCGUAGGGUGCAAGCGUUAAUCGGAAUUAAUGGGCGUAAAGCGUGCGCAGGCGGUUUGGCAAGAAGGAUGUGAAAUACCAGGGCUUAACCUUGGAACUGCAUUCUUAACUGCCAGGCUAGAGUAUGUCAGAGGGGGGUAGAAUUCCACGUGUAGCAGUGAAAUGCGUAGAGAUGUGGAGGAAUACCGAUGGCGAAGGCAGCCCCCUGGGAUAAUACUGACGCUCAUGCACGAAAGCGUGGGGAGCAAACA